rnacentral:rRNA from 2 species
UGGGGAAUAUUGGGCAAUGGGCGAAAGCCUGACCCAGCGACGCCGCGUGAGGGAAGAAGGUCUUCGGAUUGUAAACCUUAGUCAACAGGGACGAAGCAAGUGACGGUACCUGUGGAGGAAGCCACGGCUAACUACGUGCCAGCAGCCGCGGUAAUACGUAGGUGGCGAGCGUUAUCCGGAAUUACUGGGUGUAAAGGGUGUGUAGGCGGGAGAGCAAGUCGGAUGUGAAAAUUAUGGGCUCAACCCAUAACCUGCGUCCGAAACUGUUUUUCUUGAGAAUCGGAGAGGUAAAUAGAAUUCCCGGUGUAGCGGUGAAAUGCGCAGAGAUCGGGAGGAAUACCGGUGGCGAAGGCGAUUUACUGGACGAUAUCUGACGCUGAGACACGAAAGCGUGGGGAGCAAACAGG